UUCAUAGGUUCCUGGCAUUGGGACAUGGACAUCUUUGGGAGCCAUUAUUCUGCCUACCACACCAGCCACACUGCGAGUUUCAAUGGACUGUAGGGAUGGCAGUUUAGCAGAUGAGGAAACAGAAGCCCAAAGAGCUAAAUGAUCAUCUCCAGCAACCCUCCAGUGUGAUGAAGGCAGGUGUAAGUCUGGAACAUGGACCCUUGAUAGGCUGCCAGCAUGUUUCUCACCUUUCUCCAGUGCCUCCUCUCCAGGAAGUGUGUUCUAAAGAGAUGUCAGAGUCACAGUCAAGAGCUGUCAUCAAGAAGAGGCAAUACAUCUUAGUGUCUACUUUGAAAAGAGGAAGACAAAUCCCAUGGCUAUAGACAAAAAUCUCAGGACCAUAGAAUUUCAAAAUUGGAAUGGUUUUUGGGAGUCAUCUGAUUCAUCCUCCCAUUUUGAUUAAAUUGCCAGCCCGCAACAACCCAGUGGUGAGCUGAGAACAGAACUCAGGACUGACACCCAUUGCCUUGUUGUGAAGAAAGAGAGUAUGUAAGGCAAUUUUUUCCUUGUAUGAAGACUCUCAGAGAACAAAUGUAAGGCUAUGUAAAUAGAAAUGCAUGCUUUUCUUUAUUUCAUAUACAUUACACAUAUAUAUAUCUGUCUCUAAAUUAUUCUUCAAAAUUUCAACUUAAUAUAAAGUUGUAUAAAUAAUGCAGUUUUAUAAAGUUGUAAAUAAUAUAAAGUUUCUGGUCUGAAAAUUCUUACCCUCAAAAUAAAUCCUUAUUCACCAUAUGGCAAAUGUUUGUGCUGAUUUAAUCUUCUAGAUGCUUUUUCACUCCAAUAAACAGUAUUUUUUAAUGAGUCCUGGGUUAUACAUUAUAAUAUACAGAUUGGCACACAUUUAUACUUGGGGCUGCUAUGGGACAGUCUAGAGCAGACUUCAGAAGGGUAAAAUAUUGUUGGCAAUUGUACCCCUUACUCUCCUCUUUCCUCCUUCUCCUGUUCUCUCUUCUAUGCCCCAAAUUUGCUCUUCCCCAAAACAUCUCUUCAGAGACACAGGGAACACAGUCUCCCUGGAAAAUAUAUCAGCACUGCUCAGCUCUGAUUUUCAGCACCUACAAAAUCCAAACUCUUUAAUACCACUUUGAAUAAUAAAAACAUUAGCUUUGCAAAGUUACUAUACAUUUCUUUCCGUAGAAAAAAGCUUUGGGACAUAAAUGGUUAAAAAGUCAGCUCCCUCUUGUUUUUACAAUUCUUAAAUCAUUUAUUUAUCUUUCAGGGUUGCAGAGUGUGAGGAUGAUGGUGUUGAUUCUCUGCCUGGUAUUAAUUUUCAGAAUUUUUAGUGUGUCAUUCCUUGUGUGUGUAUGUGUGUGUGCGCGUGUGUGUAUGUGUGUGUUUCUCCCUUUGGAAAAACAAAAGAUGGGUUUCCUUGCCCACCAUGGAAAAAAUGUAACAUACGACUCAAUCCCUUCCUGAGAGCACGGGGGACUCAAAGCAGGCGGCUCAGAUCAGGGUGGUGAGGAAGUUUUGUCAUUUCCAGAAGGAAGCAUGAGUCAUAGUGUGUGACAUUUUGGGAGGCCUGAAUCAGAGCUGUCGAGGAAGUCAGUUCUCAGACAGUUUAACUUAGAACCACAAUGUAAUUUAAUUUAACGCCUUCAAUACCUUAUCUUUCUCCAAGAUGGCUGCAGACAUAGAUGUUCCAAUUAUUUCCCUUCAGGAACAGAGAGUAAUUUAACAGUUGAAGAAGUCCCCUCAUCCACUUCUGAGGCAAC